AGAGCUCGCGAUAUGAAGAGGC
rnacentral:miRNA from 1 species